GGACGAACGCUGGCGGCGUGCCUAAUACAUGCAAGUCGAACGGUCUUUCUAUGGAAGCUUGCUUCCACUGAGAAGAUAGUGGCGAACGGGUGAGGUAACACGUGGGUAACCUGCCCAUAAGAGGGGGAUAACAUCCGGAAACGGGUGCUAAUACCGCAUAGUUUUCUUGAUCGCAUGAUCGGGAAAGGAAAGACGGCCUUUGUGCUGUCGCUUAUGGAUGGACCCGCGGCGUAUUAGUUAGUUGGUGAGGUAACGGCUCACCAAGACGAUGAUACGUAGCCGACCUGAGAGGGUGAUCGGCCACAUUGGGACUGAGACACGGCCCAAACUCCUACGGGAGGCAGCAGUAGGGAAUCUUCCGCAAUGGACGAAAGUCUGACGGAGCAACGCCGCGUGAGUGAAAGAAGGUUUUCGGAUCGUAAAACUCUGUUGUCAGAGAAGAACAAGUUGGAGAGUAACUGCUCCAGCCUUGACGGUAUCUGACCAGAAAGCCACGGCUAACUACGUGCCAGCCGCCGC
rnacentral:rRNA from 1 species